AGCAGCCGCGGUAAUUCCAGCUCCAAUAGCGUAUAUUAAAGUUGUUGCAGUUAAAAAGCUCGUAGUUGAACCUCGGGGUCUACCCAUUGGUCAGGCUUAAUUGUCUGUACUGGUGAGAUGGAUCUCUACCUUCUGAGGAACUUUCAUGCCAUUUAUUUGGUGUGAUGGGAAAUCAGGACUGUUACUUUGAAAAAAUUAGAGUGUUUAAAGCAGACUAUCGUCUGAAUACAUUAGCAUGGAAUAAUGAAAUAGGACGGACUGAUUCUAUUUCGUUGGUUUCUAGGAUCACCGUAAUGAUUAAUAGGGAUAGUUGGGGGCAUUAGUAUUCAAUUGUCAGAGGUGAAAUUCUUGGAUUUAUUGAAGACUAACUACUGCGAAAGCAUUUGCCAAGGAUGUUUUCAUUAAUCAAGAACGAAAGUUAGGGGAUCGAAGACGAUCAGAUACCGUCGUAGUCUUAACCAUAAACUAUGCCGACUAGGGAUCGGACGAAGUUAAUUUUAUAAUGACGCGUUCGGCACCUUACG
rnacentral:rRNA from 1 species